UGAGUGAAGCACUGAAUCAUUCCAGCCUUCUUAAACAGUAUAACAACACAUUUAACCAGACAAACUAACAAGUACAUAUAAAAGUUACUUAAACAUAAUGAAUUAAUACUGUUAAAUAAAAUUGUAUGCCCUAAAAUACAUUUUCAGAGUAUAAAAACAACCAAUACCACUUACUAGUACAUUUAGUGUUAUGUACUAAAUGAUAUAAUAUAUUUUACUAAAUGUUUUAUACAUGUUUUGGACAUUACUCUAAAAUUGAAUAUAGAUCCAAGCUCAGAUUUCAAUCAAGGCACAAUAGCCAAAUGGGUUUCAAAUUAGAGAUUUUUAAAGCUCCUUACCACAAGACCAGGCAGCCAGAUAUAUAUGAAUGUUGUCUUGGAAUGACAGCCUGGUCAAGUGGUAUUUUCUUUUGACUGCCAUCACAAUGGUCCUCACCCUGUAGAAGAAAAACUAUAUGGGAAGCUGCCUGAUCUGGAAACCACUUUGGAAUUCAUCUUAGAUAUGGACCACUUGUCUGAACUCUCCAACAUAACAAUGAAGAAGAACAAUGGACCUAAGUGGAACUUGCCCACUUCUAUCCUUUGCCAUCCUGCAGGAGGUUUAGACUACAACCAGUGGUGUAGCUAAGGUGAGGGGAGAAUUUGAAAAUCCCCCGGGCCCCCAAACUAGUGUUUUUAUAUUAAAUAUUGUGCAAAAUGCAGGGGGCAAAGAGAUAAAGCCCCCAACUGGAAAAUUCCUAACUUCACCCCUAAGAACAACCUAAUAAUCUUCAUUUAUCAAGGAAUGUCUAAAAUGCAUAAAACAAAAGACAUAAAACAAUGUUACAUUUUUAUCAAAAUUAUGUUUUUAUACAUAAGAUAGUAUUGUUUUUGAAUAGUAUACAGUAAGAUAACAUGCAGUACAUAAAAUGUAAUUAUGAAAGUUGAAUGAAGAUGUACAUUAUUUACAAAAAAAGUGUCAAAUUUAAAUUUUGGAAACUUGCAUAUAAAAAAGAAUAUUAUAGAUUUUGUGCUUUCUAAAAAAAAAAAAACUUAGAUAUGUAAAUAUAAAUUUUUGUUAAUUUUCUUUCAGGCACUUCAGUUGUUUUUUU